rnacentral:piRNA from 1 species
UAACAUAUGAGUACAGAGGGAGG